rnacentral:rRNA from 1 species
GACGAACGCUGGCGGCGUGCCUAACACAUGCAAGUCAAGGCGGUAGCAAUACCGACUGGCGCACGGGUGCGGAACACGUAGGUAAUCUGCCCUUUAGGGGAGAACAACUCAUCGAAAGGUGAGCUAAAUCUCCGUAAUGUUUUACUAUGGCAUCAUAGUUCAACCCAAGUUUUCUUAAGGGAUGAGCCUGCGUCUGAUUAGCUAGUUGGUGAGGUAACUGCUCACCAAGGCUACGAUCAGUAGCUGGUCUGAGAGGAUGAUCAGCCACAUUGGGACUGAGACACGGCCCAGACUCCUACGGGAGGCAGCAGUGAGGAAUAUUGCUCAAUGGACGAAAGUCUGAAGCAGCAACGCCGCGUGAGGGAUGAA